CCAAGGCCGGGAUUGCUUUGAAUGACAACUUCUUGAAACUCGUCUCUUGGUAUGACAACAAGUGGGGAUACAGCUCUCGAGUUAUUGACUUGAUUUGCCACAUUGCGUCAGUCAAAUCCUAAAGGACAACAGCAAAUGUGUGAAUCAUGGCGGUUUUUCUUUUGAGUUUGAAUAACGAGAAUCCUUUUUGGUUUUUUUAGUAGACUCGGGUCCUUUUUGCGAGCUUUGAUUUGGUUCCAUUGUUUCGGAAAACCGUUACUGAUUGUAUUCAAUCUUCCCCGGUAUAUUUUGAUGAUCGUUU